UACGAAGGGUGCAAACGUUGCUCGGAAUUAUUGGGCGUAAAGCGCACGUAGGCGGCUUGGCAAGUCGGAUGUGAAAUCCCUCGGCUCAACCAAGGAAGUGCAUCCGAAACUGCUGAGCUUGAGUACUUAAGAGGAUCGCGGAAUUCCCGGUGUAGAGGUGAAAUUCGUAGAUAUCAGGUGGAACACCAGUGGCGAAGGCGGCUUCUGGACGGUAACUGACGCUGAGACGCGAAAGCGUGGGGAGCAAACAGG
rnacentral:rRNA from 1 species